GGGGGCGUAGCUCAUUUGGUAGAGCACCUGCCUUGCACGCAGGAGGUAAGCGGUUCGAGUCCGCUCGCCUCCA
rnacentral:tRNA from 1 species